rnacentral:rRNA from 1 species
AUGGUCCUAUUUGACGAGUUCCUGGUUGGGUCCAUUGACCUCGCCCGACUGAACUAUAGGGUAAUCACUCUCAUCCCUAAAGUGACGGGAGCCUCGGACAUCUGUCAGUUUCGACCGAUCACGGUGAUUAAUGUCAUCUUCCGCAUCCUCACGAAGGGGUACGCCAUUAGGGUGGCCCCUAUUGUCGACCGGAUCACUCACCCUGACCAGUCGGCCUUCAUACAGGGCCGCUAUAUCCUUGAUGGAAUUUAAGUAUUCCAUGAAGCUCUCCAUGAGGUGCACGCCAAACACCUCAAGGCAGUCUUCCUGAAACUGGAUUUCCACAAGGCCCAUGACACGGUCAGUUGGACCUUCCUUCGGGAAUGUCUGCUCCGUAAGGGUUUCGACGAUAGGUGGGGUGACCAGAGUGAUGCAGAUGGUGUCAUCAGGCCGCAUCGCGGUGAACAUUAA